rnacentral:lncRNA from 1 species
GGACUGUGUUCCUGGCUGGCUGGGCUGGGCGUCCAGGCCCAGCGUCCACCGAGUGCCCUGUGGUGACAUGGGCCUCACUCCUGCUGCUGCCUGGCCUUUCCUCCAGGACAUCUGCUCUGGCACCCAUCUUUGGAAACUCAUCUUCGGGAGAGGAUGCAAUGCCUACACCCCAGGCUGCUGUGCUCAUGUUCCGCGUGCAAAUCAGCCACAUCCACAGCUCUGAGCAUCCCGAUGCCGACUGGGGCUCCCGAUGGGAAUGGAGAACAGAAAAGCUGUGCAUGUCGCCCUCAGACCAAGGCCACAGCCGUGCAGACUGACGUCCACCCUCGCCUGGGGUGCUAUGGAUGCUUCACAUGCACAUCUGUUUGCUGCUUUAAAGUAACUGGCAUGUUUAUGACAUCAGCAUCUGCACUUCUCAGCCAUGUCAGGUGCCCUUCUCGGUUACUCAUAGGUCUCUGCAGUGAACACCUCCAUUUCUGACUUUCUGUAAAACAUUUCAAGAUGAUGUCCACUCAUUUAUUUAUAUAGUUUGCUUUCAUGUGAUUUCGCGGAAUAGUCGUCAAUAUGCCAUUUACUACAGCCCUGGGAUUCUUUCCGGAUUCUUUGAUUAGAUGUACAUUUCCUUUACAUGUUUUACACACACACACACACACACACACACACACACACACACAGAGCAGUGAUCUUUAGCAGUUCCUUUCUUCCUUAGGUAGAAUGGAUCUAAAAUUAGAACCCUCCUUGGCUGGGCACCACCUUCCACGUGUCCUGUACCUGGUCCUGUGUGUUUCUCAGGGUCCGGGGUUUAGCUGCCUCCAACCUGAGUGCAGACUGAACAUGGUGCCAGGGACAUGCUUUCUGAAUACGGAGGCAGGAGGGGAAAAGGCAGGGAGAAGAGACGAGCAGAAAGGCAGCAAGGAGAAAAAAAGCAAAAGAUGGAGAAUUUGAGUAAAGAACAGAGAGGAAGGCUGGGGGCAGGCUGCCUCGCGUGACCGACAGACUCUGCCUUACGGUCUCUGCACCUGCUUCCCGGGCAUUAGCAUUCGUAUCCGUAUCGGUGAGAGUGUGGCAGGAGCUCGCACGGAUCCGAGUUCCACGGCACUCGCUGGCUGAGAUCCUGCCCUCACUUUGCUGACAUGGCCACAGCCUGGUGGAGAAGACAGUGCAGAAUUAACAAUAGCAAUAACAAUGUCCCAAGUUAGAAUUCUGGUGCAAAAUGUUCACUUUUCAGGAAAAAUAAAACAAAACACUCAUGCCUGUAAUCCCAGCACUUUGAGAGGCCGAGGCGGGUGGACCACAAGGUCAAGAGAUGGAGACCAUCCUGGCCAACAUGGUAAAACCCCGUCUCUACUAAAAAUACAAAAAUUAGCCGGGCGUGGUGGCGGGCGCCUGUAGUCCCAGCUACUCGGGAGGCUGAGGCGGGAGAAUCGCUUGAACCCAGGAGGCGGAGGUUGCAGUGAGCCAACAUUGUGCCACUGCAGUCCAGCCUGGGUGACAGAGUGAGACUCUGUCUAAAAAAAAAAAAAAGAAAGAAAAGAAAACAUGAAAAGAAAGAAAAAACCUGAAGCUCAAGUUUUUCCUUUAGAAGCCAGAAAGAUGAUGUGCGUGGAGGAUUAAAGACGGGAAUACAAGCCCAGUCGCCUCCUGGGUCCUGGAAAGACGCGAGCCCACGAGCCACCCAUUGCACCCCCGAGUCCCCCAGGUCUCAGCACUGCCGAGAGCUCGUGCGUUGCUGUCCUGGGGGUGCUCAGUCGGCGGCCGUCAGAAUUUGGGGGCUUUGUGGAGCCAACCUGCGGAGAGAGAAGAGCCCCAAUUUCCUGUUCCUCUGCUUGCAGCGUCCGGCAAAGAUGGAGGCCUGAGAGUGAAUUUCUGCCAACCCGUUAUCUCAGGAUCACAACUUUUCCCCUUCCCAAGAAACAAGUGUUAUUAUUAUAUUUUUAAUUCCCUAAUGUGUGACCCGGCAGCCCGUAUCAUCUUACAGGGACUGAAUAGGGAGGCCAGGGCAGGCUGUGUGGCCAGCGCUUUCAAUAUCCCCC